AGUGAACGCUGGCGGUAGGCCUAACACAUGCAAGUCGAACGGCAGCACAGUAAGAGCUUGCUCUUACGGGUGGCGAGUGGCGGACGGGUGAGGAAUACAUCGGAAUCUACUUUUUCGUGGGGGAUAACGUAGGGAAACUUACGCUAAUACCGCAUACGACCUACGGGUGAAAGCAGGGGAUCUUCGGACCUUGCGCGAUUGAAUGAGCCGAUGUCGGAUUAGCUAGUUGGCGGGGUAAAGGCCCACCAAGGCGACGAUCCGUAGCUGGUCUGAGAGGAUGAUCAGCCACACUGGAACUGGGACACGGUCCAGACUCCUACGGGAGGCAGCAGUGGGGAAUAUUGGACAAUGGGCGCAAGCCUGAUCCAGCCAUACCGCGUGGGUGAAGAAGGCCUUCGGGUUUUAAAGCCCUUUUGUUGGGAAAGAAAAGCAGCAGGUUAAUACCCCGCUGUUCUGACGGUACCCAAAGAAUAAGCACCGGCUAACUUCGUG
rnacentral:rRNA from 1 species